AGGGCUGCACCCAUGGUAUAUGGAGGUACCCAGGCUAGGGGUCUAAUAGGAGCUAUAGCUGCCGACCUACACCACAGCCACAGCAACGCCAGAUCCAAGCCACCUCUGCGACCUAUACCACAGCUCACGGCAGCGCUGGAUCCUUAACCCACUAAGCAAGGCCAGGGAUGAAACCCGAAACCUCAUGGUUCCUAGUAGGAUUUGUUUCCGCUAUGCCACGACAGGAACUCCUAAGGGACUCAAAGGAGUAGGCAAUGUCUACACGAAUUCAAUCCUUAACCCCAUGGAAUAAAGUCUGAUCUAUUACUCUGCUGAAGCUAUUCAUACUAUGGUUGCAAUGGUCCUCAAACUUUGUCCUUAACUCAUCUGAGUUUCCUGCACUUCAUACUCUUCACUACCUACCUGUGUCACUAUCCUUGCCAAAUGCCUCUUUUGUAAAACUUUCUCUAAUAUACUGAUUGAUGGGAGUGUGUGGAGCUGCCCAAGGCUCUGAGGGCAAACCAGUUCCAACUUCCAAAACAUGAAAGUUUUGAAGGAAGAUAACUUAGAAAUCAUCUAGCCCAACUUCCUCAUUUAACAAAUGAGGAGCCAAGGCCUUAAGAUGAGUAAAUAUUCCUUCAAAAGGGAUUUGCUAUAUAAAAAUUACCAAAUGCCACUAACAAAAUGUUAAUGUAUCCUAAGAGAGCUAUUCCACUGGAUUGUAAACUCCAUGAGGUAAGGAUAAUGUCUGCCUUAUCUGCUGCAUCCCAGAGCCCAAAACAGUGCCUAUCACAUAAGGAUUGUUCAAUAUAUAUCUAUUAAGUAAAUGAAUUAAGGUAACUUUAAAGUAAUAAAUCACUAGCAAGAAGAAAAUCAGGAAGCUCAUUGUUUAACCACAGUGGUGGAUUAUAUUUAUUAAAAAAUCAAUAAAUCCAAGGUAGGUAGGGCUCCUAAAAUCUUUUGAAAAAAGCAGGAGCAGCAAAGGUAGAAAACAUAGAUACAGCUAUAAUUGGUAAAGCAAAUUAAUUUCUUUGUAACAAAGGAGACCUAACAGCAAACACAAGGCAAUUUUUAAAUAUCCACCAUUCUUGCUAUACUUUCCUUUGGUGGCAGGGAGGGAUUACCUCAAAUGGAACUCUGUAAUCCUGUCUAAAUUUUACUAUUUCUUAUGCCUUACAAAUAAAAUAUUCAAGAAUAUAAAGCAGUUCUGUCAAGAUAUAAAAGGAAAAAAGAUCAGUUGUUUCCUGGGUUUCAGUAGGGUCAAAUAGGAGAAAGACCACCAGAAACCAAGCGCUCUUACCUCUCUGGAUCCUCAGUCUUUGUGGGGGAUUGCCCAGCACUGAAUUCUAUCAGCUGCACUUCAUCCCGAAUCUGGCUAUCAACGACUCACUUUUGUGUCUAUAUCUGGUCAGUAUGUCUUCAUGAGGGAGAGAUUGUUGCAUUGAACAAAUCAUUCAGGAAAUGUUCAUUCUCAAUGAGUACCACAUACUAAGCUUCCUAGCUGUCUCCAUGCUAGCAGUGGAGGAUCUUACUCAUUCAGAUUAUGAAGAAAAAGGCCCUCAAGGAGGACAAUACUAAUUGUCAAAACCAGACAUUCUUCAUUGCUCAAGCCAACUGUACUCAAGCGACCAUAAUAAAGCUUUUAACUCUACAUUGUAUGUAAAUCAUACAAAAUCUCAUACUGGCAGCAAUACUAGAUAAGGCAUACCUAGCAUGCAUGGUCAUGGUUAAGGGAGAUACAAGAAUCCUUCUAGAUAUGGAAUCCUCAAAGGCUUCUCGAAUACAAUAAGACAGGUCACAAAAUUAGGGUAUAAUAGACUACUUAACUAUUUCAGACAUAAGCAGCAACAGUAGUUACAGCCAUCAAAGAUAGUCAGAUAACACUAUAUAUCUAGAACUUCCUCUCCACCUAAAAGGGAAAAAAAAUCAGUUGUUUGGUAAAGCAAUGGCUUGGAUUAGAGGUUAUCUUCAUCUGACCUCUUACACCAUCUCUGACAUUGAUACCUUAGCAUCUCUUUGGAAUGUUUUCUCAGUCCUUCACACCCUAGGGCACCACCUAAAAGUAUUUGGAUGAUAUUAAAAGUGUUAACUUUUAUUACUAAGUGAUAACUUAAAAAAAAAAAAAAAAGAUAGCAAGGAGAAUCACUCGUUAAGGCCUCCCACACAAACAUCUUGCUUUAUGUACUAUUUGUUCCAUAAUCAACAGUGCCUAAAGCUAAGCACCACACAUGUACAUGUGUAUACACAUUCCAAAAAUCUCACACAGCUUUAUUGUUACAGCAAUGUAUUGUAUCCCAAACACAAAGGUACUUUCUUCUCCUCAGGAGACCAGUGUUUAUGUAGAGCAGGCACCUCCCUGAAAUGGGCCACUUGAUUCCUUUUGUAUGGUGAUCAUGUGACUCUCACAGUUGUGCAGUUAUUUUCUUACUAAAAACUACCAUCUUUGAUGCAAAGACAACCUACAACAUAGAUUUUUCUCCACUAGUAAAUUUUACGUAUUUGUUAUGAAAAAAAGGAAAGAAUUUAGACAUCUAGAUAAAAUCAUCUAAAAGGGUUAUUAGAAAUGAUCAAGAUAUCUGGGUACAAACAUUAGGUCAAAAAUCAUUUAAUUGUUUAAGCCAGGUAAAUAUUAUUUCAAAAUAUUUCUUGCAUUUACACAGUAUAAACGAGAGGUGAUAAAUGUGUGAAAAGAAUAUAUCUUUAUAUCCUGACACAUUCCUUUUCCAUAAAAAAUCUAAAAAUAAGCGUGUUUUAAAUUUAUGCACGUAUCCUUGGGCAACCUGAACUUAUUUAGGAAGCUGUUAGGAAGCUAUACAUUUUUUACAGCUCAUUUGGUAGCAUUUUUAUAUUUUAUUCUUACCUUUAUGAGGAUUGCUAAAAGCAAUCACCAUAUGAAAAGAUUCCUGGACCCUCUAAAAAAAUCAUUUUCUCAAUGUCACAUGUACUGAAAGUAAACCCUAACCACCAUUUUUCUUACACCUACCAUGUGCUGAGAUUGGGGGUAAGCAGUUACAUUUAUUAUUCCUAGUUUUUACAAUAAGGCUACAGAAGGUCCUAGGAAGCAGACCCUGAGGGGGCUGUGCAGAAGGUUGGCAGGGGAGGGCUCUUUAGAACAGCACUCAUGAGUGAAGGAGAGGAGUAGGGCAGGGGAGAGAAAGGAGUUGAAGCAAUUCGGUUACAAUGGAGGCCUCGACAAAUCCUAAAGUGAAUUUGAAACCUGGAUGACCCUGCUGCCCUGAAUUGAGGCAAGUAGGUUGUCUGUACCUUUGUAUUGGAGUACUGACCAGUCACUGAGUUCAGGCUGCCCCAGAAGAGGGAGCCUAACCUUGGGUAACGGGAAUUUCCUGGGAGGAAUCCAACCAGAAGCCAUCAUCAAUCAGCACUCCAGACAGCUGGUGGGGACCCACUAGUGUCUCAACCACUAGUCUUAUUCCUGGAGGAGGGGCCUGGGGAGUAUAUCACACAUAAAAGAAAGGUAAGGCUUAUCCAAGGUCACUAUUAGAGUAUCUUUAAUGCAAGUUCAUCUUAGGUUUCAAAACUAGGACCUGGUAUGCUUCUCUUAUGCAGACAUUGAGAAGUAUAGAAAGUCAUUGUAUUUACCUUUUUGCCAUGGCUUCCAGAAGUUCAUAGCUCAUUUUAAUACUGUGUUUAUAUACCUGGAUUACCACUUUACCCCCUGCCCUGAUUUCUCAUUUUCUGAUUCUAUUUUUAGCUUUCUCCAUAUGCAUAUCUCUUUGGGGGGGUAUAUUUAUAUUAUAUGUAAUAGUCCCUUUCAUCCUCGUCAUCUCUAUGAAGGGAAACCAAAUCAUUUACACAUUAGGUGAACAAUGGCAGGCAUAAAGUGACGGACACUCCAUGGCCUCCUUCAGUAAGCCA
rnacentral:lncRNA from 1 species